rnacentral:lncRNA from 1 species
GGAUGAUGGAGCCCAGGCCGGCCCGCACGGCCGUCACGCACUCCACAUUCUGCAGCUCCCGCAGCCGCAGGCUCCGGAUGGCUGCCGCGUAGAUGUCCUUGUUCUCCCACGCCACAAGGAUGUGCCGGCCCCGGCUGCACAGCUCCACCUCCUCGCCCGUCAUGGUCAGGUAGGUGAACCUGCAGCAGGGCUUGUUGGGGCUGUCAGGGCUCUCCGUGGCCAG